rnacentral:tRNA from 2 species
GGUCUCAUGGUGUAAUGGUUAGCACUCUGGACUUUGAAUCCAGUGAUCCGAGUUCAAAUCUCGGUGAGACCU